rnacentral:lncRNA from 1 species
UCGGAGGCCAGAGAAGCUUAGGGGUGAGGGUUCCUACAUUUUCGAAAAAAAGAUUCACAUUUAACGACAAUAUGAAGGUGCAUUGAGGGCGGGAUGGCAAUGUGGUAUGGCCGACGCCACCACAACUAGCUCGCCGUUACAGUUUUUGUUAUCAAACAACCAUAUAAAGAUGCCGCCCAUGUUACGACCAUUGCACGACAUCAAGGGGCUCUGAUUCAACGAUGAGAAUAUAGCUUCGAUCUAAACGUAUCCAUUUUUUACAUUGGUUACACCAUAGUACAAGUACACAUCCAACAAGCAUGCAUUGUUCCACAAUUACAUACCAUCAUCCAGUCCAUUCUCCCCAAAAAAAGCAAAUUAAUUUUGCCAGCAUUCUUCUUCCCCAUGGCAGCACACUCUUCGGAUUAGUCGUUGCUAACUCCAACGUGCUCCUUAGUUCGGGGUGAAGGCCUAAGAACAAACAAACACAAAAAAGAGUCAUUUAUCAUGGCGAUGCGUAUACAACAAUGUCAUUUGGCUCAAAUGAUGGUGUGAACAUACCCGGAAGAUGGUGGCGUGGCCGGGGUCAGCGAGGUGGGCGAAGAGGUUGUCAAUGGGGCCGGUGCCGGUGUACUCUGCCUGGAACCACGCGCCCAUGACGGCGAGCAUGGCGAGACGGCCGUUCUUGAUCUCCUUGGUGCGCAGCUCCUUGAUCUUCUCCGGCGAGCCGGAGCCGUAGCCGAGCGGGUCAAACCACAGACCACCAGGGUACCUAACAUUUCCAACACACAAACACAAUGAACCGAUCAGCCUAUUUGUUAGUAGCACACAAGGAAGGAGACCGAGACAUGGAAUUAAAGCAAGUGUGUGUAUAUAUGUAUACCCGACGUCGGUGCCGGUGAGCUUGUUGUUGGGGAAGAUGGGGUCGGUGUUGACGCAACCGGGCUUGAUGAUGUCGGCCCACCGGCGGCCCUCGGCCCAUCCGAUGAGGAUGAGCUCGACGAUGAAGAGCGUGGUGGUGUCGGCGAAGUAGGUCUGCUCGCCGGCCGUGUACCACGACGGGGUGUUGAGGAUGCCGAUCUUGGUCAGGAGCUCCGGGAUGAAGAUCCCCGCCGCGCCCAGCAUCGCCCACCGGCAGUGCACCAGCUCCGCCUGCACGUUCCACCGCAAGCUCUCCGGGUCCGAUCCUACGCACGCACAAAAAUUAAUCAAAUUAGCCCACAACAAAGCCCAUCAAAUUAAGACUGCCACAUGUCAAAGAGAUUGAUCAGGGCUUACCGAGGCCCCAGGGAUCAAAGCCGAAGUCGCCCGGGAGGCUGCCGUCGAGCCACGGGGGAGGGGUGCUCCCGGGGAACCAGAUGGGCCUCUCGGGCGCCGCGGCGCGCACGGCGAACGACGGCCGCGCCGCCGCCGCCCUGCCGGCGGCGCCGCCGAGGAAGGAGGUCCGCGCGCCGGCGAGCCCGUUGCUGGGGAGCGCCGCGACGGCGGCGGGGGAGGAGGAGGAGGAGGAGACGAGCGCCAUCGUCGUCCGCUAGCUGUGUAGCUCUGCGCGCGCGUGCGUGGGGUGUGCGAGUGAGAGGUGGUGUGCGUGUGGCGCGCGGCAGUUUAUGGGCGAUCUAGGCGCGGGCCCCUGGUUAUCCGGGAGGAGAUAGCGAGCGCGGCCGUGGCGUGCCACGCGGCAAGGGGGAAUCCGAUCCCUUGGCUGCGGGCGUCUCGCGGGGUGCUGACGUGGGGGGCAGCCAGGCGGCGGCCUGAUGAAAAUCAGGGGGCGGCACGCGAUUGGACGACGCGCUCGACAUUUCGCGCCCGAGUUGCAGACUUGUAGUAUAUCGACAAGAUGAUAUAUGUGGCAUCUAUCCACGAAGCGAAGAAAUAAGGGGGCUAAUUAGGGGCGUGGGUUGCAUUGCCAAUUUGCCGUAAUGCCAUUGCACGACUGCAUCUCACAAUGCAAAGGGCGGAAAAGUUCUUUAAAACCGUGCUAACCUUUUAUCGAGGGAGGAAGUAUCUUCCAAAAGGGAGCUGUACCGUUGACAUGAUUCACACACUAAUUCAAACGAGUCUACUUGGUCUAAAGUAAUCCAUAGUUAUAAUUUUGACACAUAUGGCGAUUUGUUCCUCUCCAAACUUACAUAAUAUUAAUCUAAUACGAAUGGUCAGACACUGAAAACGAGAAAUGUCUUGAUCCAAGUGCACAAAUCUAUAUGGUAUGUUUUGUGGUACGGAAAAAGUACCAAUUUAUAUCAUGUACCUGAUAUAUUGCUCCCAUGAACUCAACAUGACAUUAACUUGCUAAUGACUUGAUAUAAAUUGGCAAGUUAAGGAACUUUAUUUUUCUAGCAACAGUCAAAACAAAAAGGAUGUUUGACACGCAAAACCACCGUCAGCAAAGUAAUGUCAACUACUCCCUCCAUCUCUUAUAUUUGUACAUUUGGGUUAUUUUAAGUCAAAACUUUCUUAACUUUGACGGUGUCUGUAGAAAAAAAAACAGCAACACAUGUAACACCGAACAAAUGCGAUAUGAAAAUAUAUUUGAUAAUAGUCCUAAAGGUAAUAGUCUGGUGUUGUUUAUAAUUUUCUUAUACAAACUUGGUCAAAGUUGACAAGCUUUGAUUUGGGACAAACCCAAAUGGAGAGAUAUUUUGAAACAGAGGGAGGACAUUGCGAGCCUGAGCCAACGGUAGAUGAUGCGAUCAAGCUUGUCUAAAUCGAACUGUGACCACCCUACUGAUUAUUUCGUGUUUAUUCAUAUCAAAUCUUCCUCAAGUCUACUCCGAAGCUACUACUAUAACCUUUUAAGUUUUUAAUAUAUUCUUUGCCAGUGGCUUCCACAUCAACUUUUCCACAUUUUGAAGUUUAAAGAGACGCGUCGCUAUUUCUCCAAGUUCUUUAUUUACGCCAUUUGUCCCUUCGACAGAAUGGCUCCCAAAUUCAACAUUGUUAACACUACAAACUGACACAUGCAUUUUGGCCCUACUUUUCAGUCGGUGCGGUUACAACCAAGUGACCAACACCCUGUUAUUUUGAAAAGAGCACCUGCUCCAACAAAACUUGACAGCAUCUUGCGACAGAUCACGAAAGUCGAAAGGAGUAGAACUCUGUGAUGUACACACACGUUGCAUCACCAAAUCAAGAGCACCUCACGGAUUUCCCUCUUCUCACCUUUUCCUCCACUAACUUGCACUCUCGAUAUUCAUCAUACAGACCAAAAAGAAAAGGGGGAUGCGACCCUCAAAAAGGAAGAAAGGGAGGGUGCACCAACACACCCUUGCUGAUCUCCUUUGAGAAACUGUCGGUAGAACCAGGAAUUCCUUCGUGUUCAUACUUCUAUACGAAGAGCUUCAUGUGCAGAUGUGCUAGUUAACGCAAUCAAAAGACCGAUAUGAUGGAAAUGGUUAGUCAAUCCAUUUAUACUUCAACACGUGUGGCUCCCUUAUGCCUAAACGUGCGUGUCACAAUUUAAUUUCGGCAGCUGGGUUUUGAACUCAAAACCUCUUGACUCUAAUAUCACGAAGAGUUUCAUGCGCUAGCCAACGCAACCAAAAGACCAAUCUAAUGAAAAAGGUUAGACAAUCCACUUAUACUUCAACAUUAUACAGUAAUAUUUUGCAAAAGGUGCGACCGUGGCCGGAUUCAGAUUGUUUCACAUCAUUAGGUAAAUACAUAACUGAUCAAAUGCCAUAAGACAACAUCUCAGAUAACAAAUUUGUUCAACGUAGGCGGCAGGGCUUGCUGUGGAGUUCCUUUGCAGAUUUAACAGAUCUUAUGUCAUGCCCAAAAUUCGGUCUUUGCACAGUCGUGCAUUAUUCUGAGAUGCCCACAAUCUAGCAAGAAAAACUCCCCGGACCUGUGUUCACUCAAACAUGGUUGAAGGGCACGUUCUUCUUGGAUCCAUGUUUGGCCUUGACCAUCUGAUUCAAGGCCUUCAUGCACCUGCGGAUAAUCCCCGUAGGCUUCUUCGCUCCAUCAGAUCGCCUUAUCACCAUGGCCAGUGUCGUGCCGCCGGUUGGUGCUGCCCCCAGAGCUCUAUAAUCAGCAAAGGCAUUCUCCCCGCAGCUGAAGUUGCUGUUAGCUUUUGCAUCUCCAGUGCCAAGCUGCUUCUCUCGUAUCAGCUCCAGAAGGGAAAACCUGGGUACGCCGUCGAUAGGCGGUGGCGUGAUCGGCUUAUUUACGCUUUUACGUUGCUCCGGGGCCUUCUGCUCUAUGUGUUGGCGCUCCUGCUGUGCAUUCUGCUCUUCAUCUUGAUAUUGCUCUGAUGUCUUCUCAUCUUCAUCUCGGCAAUGCUUACCCAUUUUCUCCUCAUCUUGGUACAGCUCUGGUGCCUUUUGCUCCUCAUCUUGUUCUUGGCAUCCCUGCUGUGCCUUCUGCUCUUCAUCUUCACAUUGCUCUGAUGUCUUCUCGUCUUCAUCUUGGCAUUGUUUACCAGCCUUCUCCUCAUCUUGGUAUAGCUCUGGUACCUUUUUCUCCACAUUUUGGCAUUGCUCUGGUGCUUUAUUAUCUUCAUACUGCUGCAAUAUCUUCUGCUCAUCAUCUAGGUAUUCCUUCGGUACAUUCUGCCCUUCGUCUUGAUAUUGCUCUGGUGUCUUCUCAUCUUGUUGGCACAGUUUAGCUGUCUUCUGCUCUUCAUCUUGGUAUUGCUCUGGUGUCUUCUCCUCAUCUUGGUGUUGUUGUGGUGUCUUGUGCUCCUCAUCCUGAUGAUGCUUCGGUAUGGUCUGCUCCUCCUCUUGAUACUGCUGUGGUUUCUCCUGCUCUUCAUCUUGAUACUGCUGCAGUUUCUUCUCCUCAUCCUCGUUUUGGUGUUGGCUGGGUGUCUUUUGCUCCUCAUAUAGGCACUGCUCUGGUGCCUUCUCAUCUUGGUGUUGUGGUGCCGUCUUCUCCUCCUCAUCUUGAUAUUGCUUUGGUAUGUUGUGCUCCUCAACUUGAUACUCCUGUGGUUUCUUCUCCUGCUCUUCAUCUCCAUAUUGGUGCGGUUUCUUCUCCCACUCAUCUUGAUAUUGCUCUGGUGCCUUCUGCUCAACAACUUCCCACAGCUGUGGUCCCUGUGGAAUCUCCAUCUUCUGAUCUGCAUCCUCACAUUGCUGAGGUGCCUGCAGCUCUGCAUCUUGGCACUGGAACAAUGUCUUCAGCCUGGCUUCUUGGAGUAGCUGCCGUGCCAGGGGAGGCACAUACCGAUCUUCAUAACAAGCGACAAGGCUUGUCGGUCUUCGUGUUCGCCUUGACAUGGCACGAUUGAAGCGGCGGGAUUUGUUCUCAUCACAUUCGGUGGCCAUUGUUUGGGGUAUGAGGAGAGAUCACCAGAAAGAGUUGGUUGCUCCUUCUCUGGGAUGGAGAAGUUAUAGGCCGCCUGAUGUGUUGAGAUGUGCAGUCUGAGUCUAUACUGUGGUGAACUGGUGGAAUGUCCAUUUCAAAGGUUUAGUCUGAUUUGUUUAUGAUUUAGAAGAUGACCUGUCUUAGUAGCCUUUCAUUCCUACAUGAAGUAAGAUUGAAGUUAGCAAUGUUAAGCAAGGGACCAAUAUUCAGCCUUAAACAACUGAUUCCUUGUCCAGUAGUACACUUCGAUCGUACUAUGUUGACAACAUACCAUGAAUCAGACUGUACAAGGAAUAAUAAAAAGUAGGCAGAAUUUCAGAAACAAAGAACAUUCAUGUGUGAUUGAAGCUAUACCCAGCAGCCUAGCAAUUGAUAACCAGCAAAAUUUGGUUUCAAGUGAAAGUUUGACUGACAGGGUUAACAUAGUUUGACUGAAUAAAUUAAUCGACUGUACACACAAUUGAAAUGUGAAAAGGUUUCUGGUCAGUGAACCUUCCCUUCUGCUUAUUACAUGGUAUUUUUGCUCGUAUGAACAAAUCUCACUGUCAUUUCAAAAUUCAGAGAGAAGCUAAAUAUCAUUGCAGGAACUGGCUCAUAAAAGAGAACCGACUCAGAAGAAUUGCUAGGGGCAACUUUGAUC